AAAUUGAAGAGUUUGAUCAUGGCUCAGAUUGAACGCUGGCGGCAGGCCUAACACAUGCAAGUCGAGCGGUAGCACAGAGAGCUUGCUCUCGGGUGACGAGCGGCGGACGGGUGAGUAAUGUCUGGGAAACUGCCUGAUGGAGGGGGAUAACUACUGGAAACGGUAGCUAAUACCGCAUGAUGUCGCAAGACCAAAGUGGGGGACCUUCGGGCCUCAUGCCAUCAGAUGUGCCCAGAUGGGAUUAGCUAGUAGGUGGGGUAACGGCUCACCUAGGCGACGAUCCCUAGCUGGUCUGAGAGGAUGACCAGCCACACUGGAACUGAGACACGGUCCAGACUCCUACGGGAGGCAGCAGUGGGGAAUAUUGCACAAUGGGCGCAAGCCUGAUGCAGCCAUGCCGCGUGUGUGAAGAAGGCCUUCGGGUUGUAAAGCACUUUCAGCGGGGAGGAAGGCGAUAAGGUUAAUAACCUUGUCGAUUGACGUUACCCGCAGAAGAAGCACCGGCUAACUCCGUGCCAGCAGCCGCGGUAAUACGGAGGGUGCAAGCGUUAAUCGGAAUUACUGGGCGUAAAGCGCACGCAGGCGGUCUGUCAAGUCGGAUGUGAAAUCCCCGGGCUCAACCUGGGAACUGCAUUCGAAACUGGCAGGCUAGAGUCUUGUAGAGGGGGGUAGAAUUCCAGGUGUAGCGGUGAAAUGCGUAGAGAUCUGGAGGAAUACCGGUGGCGAAGGCGGCCCCCUGGACAAAGACUGACGCUCAGGUGCGAAAGCGUGGGGAGCAAACAGGAUUAGAUACCCUGGUAGUCCACGCCGUAAACGAUGUCGAUUUGGAGGUUGUGCCCUUGAGGCGUGGCUUCCGGAGCUAACGCGUUAAAUCGACCGCCUGGGGAGUACGGCCGCAAGGUUAAAACUCAAAUGAAUUGACGGGGGCCCGCACAAGCGGUGGAGCAUGUGGUUUAAUUCGAUGCAACGCGAAGAACCUUACCUGGUCUUGACAUCCACAGAACUUAGCAGAGAUGCUUUGGUGCCUUCGGGAACUGUGAGACAGGUGCUGCAUGGCUGUCGUCAGCUCGUGUUGUGAAAUGUUGGGUUAAGUCCCGCAACGAGCGCAACCCUUAUCCUUUGUUGCCAGCGGUUAGGCCGGGAACUCAAAGGAGACUGCCAGUGAUAAACUGGAGGAAGGUGGGGAUGACGUCAAGUCAUCAUGGCCCUUACGACCAGGGCUACACACGUGCUACAAUGGCAUAUACAAAGAGAAGCGACCUCGCGAGAGCAAGCGGACCUCAUAAAGUAUGUCGUAGUCCGGAUUGGAGUCUGCAACUCGACUCCAUGAAGUCGGAAUCGCUAGUAAUCGUAGAUCAGAAUGCUACGGUGAAUACGUUCCCGGGCCUUGUACACACCGCCCGUCACACCAUGGGAGUGGGUUGCAAAAGAAGUAGGUAGCUUAACCUUCGGGAGGGCGCUUACCACUUUGUGAUUCAUGACUGGGGUGAAGUCGUAACAAGGUAACCGUAGGGGAACCUGCGGUUGGAUCACCUCCUUACCUUAAAGAA
rnacentral:rRNA from 2 species